AUUGAACGCUGGCGGAAUGCUCUACACAUGCAAGUCGAACGGCAGCACGGACUUCGGUCUGGUGGCGAGUGGCGAACGGGUGAGUAAUGUACCGGAACGUGCCCAGUCGUGGGGGAUAACGUAGUGAAAAUUACGCUAAUACCGCAUACGAUCUAUGGAUGAAAGCGGGGGAUCGCAAGACCUCGCGCGAUUGGAGCGGCCGAUAUCAGAUUAGGUAGUUGGUGGGGUAAAGGCCCACCAAGCCAACGAUCUGUAGCCGAUCGGAGAGAACGACCAGCCACAAUGGAACUGAGACACGGGCCAGACGCCUACGGUGGUCAGCAGUGGGAAAUUUUGGACAAUGGGCGAAGGCCUGAUCCAGCCAUUACGCGUGCAGGAUGAAGGCCCUCGGGUUGUAAACUGCUUUUGUACAGAACGAAAAGGUUUCUACUAAUACUAGGAGCUCAUGACGGUACUGUAAGAAUAAGCACCGGCUAACUACGUGCCAGCCGCCGCCGUAA
rnacentral:rRNA from 1 species